rnacentral:rRNA from 1 species
GACGAACGCUGGCGGCGUGCUUAACACAUGCAAGUCGAACGGAAAGGCCCUGCUUGCAGGGUACUCGAGUGGCGAACGGGUGAGUAACACGUGGGUGAUCUGCCCUGCACUUCGGGAUAAGCCUGGGAAACUGGGUCUAAUACCGGAUAGGAGCCAUUUUUAGUGUGAUGGUUGGAAAGUUUUUUCGGUGUAGGAUGAGCUCGCGGCCUAUCAGCUUGUUGGUGGGGUAAUGGCCUACCAAGGCGGCGACGGGUAGCCGGCCUGAGAGGGAGGACGGCCACAGUGGGACUGAGAUACGGCCCAGACUCCUACGGGAGGCAGCAGUGGGGAAUAUUGCACAAUGGGCGCAAGCCUGAUGCAGCGACGCCGCGGGGGGGAUGACGGCCUUCGGGUUGUAAACUCCUUUCGCUAGGGACGAAGCUUUUUGUGACGGUACCUAGAGAAGAAGCACCGGCUAACUACGUG